AUGAGGUCUCCUCAGGAUAAAGAGGCUCUCUUCUUAACCCACAUCUACACCAUUUUAGACAGCAGAGGGCGCCCUACUGACAGCAUCUGAGGGACUGCCGCGAGGAAGGACCAGGCGAUCCGAGGCUGUGUGGAGAAAGCUGAUAACGCCCAAGAAUAAAGUCAAUUUAAAGAAGAAAAGCGAUGGAAACUGUUUGGAGGUGCUUUCCAGCCGCGUUCCAGAUUCUGGGUCUGGAGAUGGGGAAACAGAACCAGAGAGCAUGCCGGGAAGUGGGUAGCGUAUGGCAGUGUUAGAGCCCACGUCUUCUGAAGUCCACUCUUCUUCCCAGCACACCGUGAAACUUUGGCACAUUUCCCUUUGAAGUUCCACUGCAUUUAUUCCAGGUAAUUUUAUUCCAAGACGUGCCUUUCUUUCGGAUGGGCCUUGUUCUACCCUCACGGGUCUUCCUGACUUUGAAUCAGGGAGCAGGGUUUGGGGGUAUCAGACCCGUCUGUCUUGGAAUACGCAAUAUGCAAAUCAGCCCACUUUCUUCCUCGGAGACCAGCCCCAGCUGCCAAUGGGUAUUAUGAGGGGUUUGACUUGGAUAAAGAAAGAGAAGUUGAAAAAUCCUGUAUCAGAAAAGAAGUUCAUGGGCUAUGGGAACCAAUUUGGGGUUACCUCUGGGGAAUUAGAGAUGUUUGCUGUGCAUGUUUCCUGGAGGAUCAAAUUGCAACUGUAAGUAAAUGUUUGAGGAUCCACGUGAACAGAGGACUGAGAAGAGAAACAAGGCAGGCUCUUAGUGCCUCAGUGCACUUUCCUUUUCUCAUCAUCCACUAAAUUAUGAAUUUAAUGAAGUUACUCUGAUACCUAUGAAGUCAAAUGAGAGUUCAGUGUAUUUUUGAUUGAAUUAUCCAGUUUGACUAUUGACAU
rnacentral:lncRNA from 1 species